rnacentral:rRNA from 1 species
UACGUAGGGACCGAGCGUUGUCCGGAUUCAUUGGGCGUAAAGAGCUCGUAGGCGGCUGUUCAAGUCGAACGUGAAAACUCGGAGCUCAACUCCGAGCCUGCGUUCGAGACUGGAUGGCUAGAGUCUGGUAGGGGGAUCUGGAAUUCCUGGUGUAGCGGUGGAAUGCGCAGAUAUCAGGAGGAACACCGGUGGCGAAGGCGGCUCUCUGGACCACAACUGACGCUGAGGCGCGAAAGCCAGGGGAGCAAACGGG